rnacentral:rRNA from 1 species
ACGCUGGCGGCGUGCCUAAUACAUGCGAGUCGAACGAGAGCGACCGGUGCUUGCACUGGUCAAUCUAGUGGCGAACGGGUGAGUAACACGUGGGUAACCUGCCCAUCAGAGGGGGAUAACAUUCGGAAACGGAUGCUAAAACCGCAUAGGUCCUUCAACCGCAUGGUUGAAGGAGGAAAAGAGGCGCAAGCUUCUGCUGGUGGAUGGACCCGCGGUGCAUUAGCUAGUUGGUGAGGUAACGGCUCACCAAGGCCGUGAUGCAUAGCCGACCUGAGAGGGUGAUCGGCCACAUUGGGACUGAGACACGGCCCAAACUCCUACGGGAGGCAGCAGUAGGGAAUCUUCCGCAAUGGACGCAAGUCUGACGGAGCAACGCCGCGUGAGUGAAGAAGGUUUUCGGAUCGUAAAACUCUGUUGUUAGAGAAGAACAAGUGCUAGAGUAACUGUUAGCGCCUUGACGGUAUCUAACCAGAAAGCCACGGCUAACUACGUGCCAGCAGCCGCGGUAAUACGUAGGUGGCAAGCGUUGUCCGGAUUUAUUGGGCGUAAAGCGAGCGCAGGCGGUUCCUUAAGUCUGAUGUGAAAGCCCCCGGCUCAACCGGGGAGGGUCAUUGGAAACUGGGGAACUUGAGUGCAGAAGAGGAGAGUGGAAUUCCAUGUGUAGCGGUGAAAUGCGUAGAUAUAUGGAGGAACACCAGUGGCGAAGGCGACUCUCUGGUCUGUAACUGACGCUGAGGCUCGAAAGCGUGGGUAGCAAACAGGAUUAGAUACCCUGGUAGUCCACGCCGUAAACGAUGAGUGCUAAGUGUUGGAGGGUUUCCGCCCUUCAGUGCUGCAGUUAACGCAUUAAGCACUCCGCCUGGGGAGUACGACCGCAAGGUUGAAACUCAAAGGAAUUGACGGGGACCCGCA